rnacentral:ribozyme from 1 species
AAAUGUUCUCGACCAUUCCACAUAUAGACUUGGGAUCUCUGGAACAGAAAAUAAAUUUGCAUUACUACAAUUAAAAGAGAAAGAGGGACACUAUAAAUUAUAACAGGACC